CUAUCCUCAAGCUCUGCUUGGUAUUGGGCGGCAAGCCCCCUUCUCCCAGGAGGGGGGCUCCCCCGAAAAUUAGCGGCGGAUCGGCCGGGGUCCCAGCGCAGUGACCUUUAUUCUCGCUGAUUGGAUCCCCGGGCGGCUCCUGCCGGGCAAAACAUCAUUUUUCUUAGC
rnacentral:misc_RNA from 1 species